GGUCAAGUGAAGAAGCGCAUACGGUGGAUGCCUUGGCAGUCAGAGGCGAUGAAAGACGUGGUAGCCUGCGAAAAGCUUCGGGGAGUCGGCAAACAGACUUUGAUCCGGAGAUGUCUGAAUGGGAACCCAGCAUCAUAAGAUGGUUAUCUUGUACUGAAUACAUAGGUGCAAGAGGCGAACCAGGGGAACUGAAACAUCUAAGUACCCUGAGGAAAAGAAAUCAACCGAGAUUCCCUUAGUAGUGGCGAGCGAACGGGGACUAGCCCUUAAGUGGCUUUGAGAUUAGCGGAACGCUCUGGAAAGUGCGGCCAUAGUGGGUGAUAGCCCUGUACGCGAAAAUCUCUUAGUCAUGAAAUCGAGUAGGACGGAGCACGAGAAACUUUGUCUGAAUAUGGGGGGACCAUCCUCCAAGGCUAAAUACUACUGACUGACCGAUAGUGAACUAGUACCGUGAGGGAAAGGCGAAAAGAACCCCGGAGAGGGGAGUGAAAUAGAUCCUGAAACCGUAUGCGUACAAGCAGUGGGAGCCCACUUUGUUGGGUGACUGCGUACCUUUUGUAUAAUGGGUCAGCGACUUAUUUUCAGUGGCGAGCUUAACCGAAUAGGGGAGGCGUAGCGAAAGCGAGUCUUAAUAGGGCGUCUAGUCGCUGGGAAUAGACCCGAAACCGGGCGAUCUAUCCAUGGGCAGGUUGAAGGUUGGGUAACACUAACUGGAGGACCGAACCGACUACCGUUGAAAAGUUAGCGGAUGACCUGUGGAUCGGAGUGAAAGGCUAAUCAAGCUCGGAGAUAGCUGGUUCUCCUCGAAAGCUAUUUAGGUAGCGCCUCAUGUAUCACUGUAGGGGGUAGAGCACUGUUUCGGCUAGGGGGUCAUCCCGACUUACCAAACCGAUGCAAACUCCGAAUACCUACAAGUGCCGAGCAUGGGAGACACACGGCGGGUGCUAACGUCCGUCGUGAAAAGGGAAACAACCCAGACCGUCAGCUAAGGUCCCAAAGUUAUGGUUAAGUGGGAAACGAUGUGGGAAGGCUUAGACAGCUAGGAGGUUGGCUUAGAAGCAGCCACCCUUUAAAGAAAGCGUAAUAGCUCACUAGUCGAGUCGGCCUGCGCGGAAGAUGUAACGGGGCUCAAACCAUACACCGAAGCUACGGGUAUCACGUAAGUGAUGCGGUAGAGGAGCGUUCUGUAAGCCUGUGAAGGUGAGUUGAGAAGCUUGCUGGAGGUAUCAGAAGUGCGAAUGCUGACAUGAGUAACGACAAUGGGUGUGAAAAACACCCACGCCGAAAGACCAAGGUUUCCUGCGCAACGUUAAUCGACGCAGGGUUAGUCGGUCCCUAAGGCGAGGCUGAAAAGCGUAGUCGAUGGAAAACAGGUUAAUAUUCCUGUACUUCUGGUUAUUGCGAUGGAGGGACGGAGAAGGCUAGGCCAGCUUGGCGUUGGUUGUCCAAGUUUAAGGUGGUAGGCUGAGAUCUUAGGUAAAUCCGGGAUCUUAAGGCCGAGAGCUGAUGACGAGUCAUCUUUUAGAUGACGAAGUGGUUGAUGCCAUGCUUCCAAGAAAAGCUUCUAAGCUUCAGGUAACCAGGAACCGUACCCCAAACCGACACAGGUGGUUGGGUAGAGAAUACCAAGGCGCUUGAGAGAACUCGGGUGAAGGAACUAGGCAAAAUGGCACCGUAACUUCGGGAGAAGGUGCGCCGGUGAGGGUGAAGGACUUGCUCCGUAAGCUCAUGCCGGUCGAAGAUACCAGGCCGCUGCGACUGUUUAUUAAAAACACAGCACUCUGCAAACACGAAAGUGGACGUAUAGGGUGUGACGCCUGCCCGGUGCCGGAAGGUUAAUUGAUGGGGUUAGCUAACGCGAAGCUCUUGAUCGAAGCCCCGGUAAACGGCGGCCGUAACUAUAACGGUCCUAAGGUAGCGAAAUUCCUUGUCGGGUAAGUUCCGACCUGCACGAAUGGCGUAACGAUGGCGGCGCUGUCUCCACCCGAGACUCAGUGAAAUUGAAAUCGCUGUGAAGAUGCAGUGUAUCCGCGGCUAGACGGAAAGACCCCGUGAACCUUUACUAUAGCUUUGCACUGGACUUUGAAUUUGCUUGUGUAGGAUAGGUGGGAGGCUUUGAAGCGUGGACGCCAGUCUGCGUGGAGCCAUCCUUGAAAUACCACCCUGGCAACUUUGAGGUUCUAACUCAGGUCCGUUAUCCGGAUCGAGGACAGUGUAUGGUGGGUAGUUUGACUGGGGCGGUCUCCUCCUAAAGAGUAACGGAGGAGUACGAAGGUGCGCUCAGACCGGUCGGAAAUCGGUCGUAGAGUAUAAAGGCAAAAGCGCGCUUGACUGCGAGACAGACACGUCGAGCAGGUACGAAAGUAGGUCUUAGUGAUCCGGUGGUUCUGUAUGGAAGGGCCAUCGCUCAACGGAUAAAAGGUACUCCGGGGAUAACAGGCUGAUACCGCCCAAGAGUUCAUAUCGACGGCGGUGUUUGGCACCUCGAUGUCGGCUCAUCACAUCCUGGGGCUGAAGCCGGUCCCAAGGGUAUGGCUGUUCGCCAUUUAAAGUGGUACGCGAGCUGGGUUUAGAACGUCGUGAGACAGUUCGGUCCCUAUCUGCCGUGGACGUUUGAGAUUUGAGAGGGGCUGCUCCUAGUACGAGAGGACCGGAGUGGACGAACCUCUGGUGUUCCGGUUGUCACGCCAGUGGCAUUGCCGGGUAGCUAUGUUCGGAAUAGAUAACCGCUGAAAGCAUCUAAGCGGGAAACUAGCCUCAAGAUGAGAUCUCACUGGAACCUUGAGUUCCCUGAAGGGCCGUCGAAGACUACGACGUUGAUAGGUUGGGUGUGUAAGCGCUGUGAGGCGUUGAGCUAACCAAUACUAAUUGCCCGUGAGGCUUGACCAU
rnacentral:rRNA from 1 species